rnacentral:sRNA from 1 species
UCAUAGCAGCACUAAUGCACCAGAUCCCAACAGAACUCCGCACUUAAGCGUGCUUUGGCGAGAGUAGUACUAGCAUGGGUGACCACCUGGAAAGUCCUCGUGUUGCAUCCCUCUUUUUUUUUGGUUUUUCUCUUUUUGUUUUGUCAAAAAUGUAUGACUCUAGAACUU